rnacentral:rRNA from 1 species
AUUGAACGCUGGCGGCAGGCCUAACACAUGCAAGUCGAGCGAGUGGCGGACGGGUGAGUAAUGUCUGGGAAACUGCCUGAUGGAGGGGGAUAACUACUGGAAACGGUAGCUAAUACCGCAUACCAUCAGAUGUGCCCAGAUGGGAUUAGCUAGUUGGUGGGGUAAGGGCUCACCAAGGCGACGAUCCCUAGCUGGUCUGAGAGGAUGACCAGCCACACGGGAACGGAGAAACGGUCCAGACUCCUACGGGAGGAAGCAGUGGGGAAUAUUGCACAAUGGGCGCAAGCCUGAUGCAGCCAUGCCGCGUGUAGGAAGAAGGCCUUCGGGUUGUAAAGUACUUUCAGCGGGGAGGCGUUACUCGCAGAAGAAGCACCGGCUAACUCCGUGCCAGCAGCCGCGGUAAUAC